GAUGAACGCUGGCGGCGUGCCUAAUACAUGCAAGUCGAGCGAACGGACGAGAAGCUUGCUUCUCUGAUGUUAGCGGCGGACGGGUGAGUAACACGUGGAUAACCUACCUAUAAGACUGGGAUAACUUCGGGAAACCGGAGCUAAUACCGGAUGAUAUUUUGAACCGCAUGGUUCAAAAGUGAAAGACGGUCUUGCUGUCACUUAUAGAUGGAUCCGCGCUGCAUUAGCUAGUUGGUAAGGUAACGGCUUACCAAGGCAACGAUGCAUAGCCGACCUGAGAGGGGGAUCGGCCACACUAGAACUGAGACGCGGUCCAGACUCCUACGGGAGGCAGCAGUAGGGAAUCUUCCGCAAUGGGCGAGAGCCUGACGGAGCAACGCCGCGUGAGUGAUGAAGGUCUUCGGAUCGUAAAACUCUGUUAUUAGGGAAGAACAUAUGUGUAAGUAACUGUGCACAUCUUGACGGUACCUAAUCAGAAAGCCACGGCUAACUACGUG
rnacentral:rRNA from 1 species